GACGAACGCUGGCGGCGUGCUUAACACAUGCAAGUCGAGCGGAAAGGCCCUUCGGGUUACUCGAGCGGCGAACGGGUGAGUAACACGUGAGUAACCUGCCCCAGACUUUGGGAUAACCCUCGGAAACGGGGGCUAAUACCGGAUACGACACAGCUUCGCAUGGGGUCUGUGUGGAAAGUUUUUCGGUUUGGGAUGGGCUCGCGGCCUAUCAGCUUGUUGGUGGGGUGAUGGCCUACCAAGGCGACGACGGGUAGCCGGCCUGAGAGGGCGACCGGCCACACUGGGACUGAGAUACGGCCCAGACUCCUACGGGAGGCAGCAGUGGGGAAUAUUGCACAAUGGGCGGAAGCCUGAUGCAGCGACGCCGCGUGCGGGAUGACGGCCUUCGGGUUGUAAACCUCUUUCAGCAGGGACGAAGCGUAAGUGACGGUACCUGGAGAAGAAGCGCCGGCUAACUACGUG
rnacentral:rRNA from 1 species